rnacentral:rRNA from 1 species
AUUGAACGCUGGCGGCAGGCCUAACACAUGCAAGUCGAACGAGUGGCGGACGGGUGAGUAAUGUCUGGGAAACUGCCUGCUGGAGGGGGAUAACUACUGGAAACGGUAGCUAAUACCGCAUACCAUCAGAUGUGCCCAGAUGGGAUUAGCUAGUUGGUGGGGUAAAGGCCUACCAAGGCGACGAUCCGUAACUGGUCUGAGAGGAUGAUCAGGCACACUGGAACUGAGACACGGCCCAGAUUCCUACGGGAGGCAGCAGUGGGGAAUAUUGGACAAUGGGCGAAAGCCUGAUCCAGCCAUGCCGCGUGUAUGAAGAAGGCCUUCGGGUUGUAAAGUACUUUCAGCGGGGAGGCGUUACCCAAAGAAGAAGCACCGGCUAACUCCGUGCCAGCAGCCGCGGUAAUAC